rnacentral:rRNA from 1 species
UACGUAGGGUGCGAGCGUUGUCCGGAAUUAUUGGGCGUAAAGAGCUCGUAGGCGGCUUGUCGCGUCGGAUGUGAAAGCCCGGGGCUUAACUCCGGGUCUGCAUUCGAUACGGGCAGGCUAGAGUUCGGUAGGGGAGAUCGGAAUUCCUGGUGUAGCGGUGAAAUGCGCAGAUAUCAGGAGGAACACCGGUGGCGACGGCGGAUCUCUGGGCCGAUACUGACGCUGAGGAGCGAAAGCGUGGGGAGCGAACAGG